rfam:Aedes albopictus isolate Foshan contig45741, whole genome shotgun sequence.
GUCGGAUAAGACGCCUAUCCCUACCUCCACGCGGUACCGGCCGGAAACUAUGAGCAACCUUAGGGAAGAUCGGGUAACCAACCCCGAUGGGAACUUUGGUCGUAGGCUGACAGGGAAGG